CUUUCCACCUGAAGAUGAAGCCAAGUUCGAACAGGGCUUGAAAGAUUUGAAACUAGCUGAACGAGAAGCUCGUAGAGAAUUCAGACAACAGAUGUAUGCUAGGCUUGCCAAAGAGAAGCAAACUGACGAAGAAAGAAGCUAUGUUAGUUUCGUCUUGGCAAGUGCUGAUGAUUAUCCUGAUAAGAUGGUGGCAAACUAUUGACGCCUUAUUGUUAGGCUUACCAUGUUGGGCACAUAUUUUGUUGGUGCUGCCUCAUUUGGAAGUUGCAGUCUUCGUCUCUAUUGAUUCAAUUUUUGUGAUUGGAUAAAGCUGCCAUGACU
rnacentral:lncRNA from 1 species